AGAAAAAAAAGAAAAAAAACUCUCUCAACACUCUCCCUCACUCCAGAAACCGGCCAAGGGUCCGGUCAACUUUCGGUCACCGGCCAUUGUGUCGACCGCCAGUCGCCGACGACGGCGCCGCCGUAUGCGGUGGCCGAAAAAGGGGAAAAUCUCCAGUUUAAUCCUUUCAAACCCCGUAAACCCAAAUCUGAGUUCAACAACCCCGAC
rnacentral:lncRNA from 1 species